CAUAAAAAAAUAGUACUUAUGUCCGUAAAUUUAUGGGUAAUUUGCGGAUACCCGCGUGUAUGAAAGUGAUUAUCGAGUCUAGUCUAUUGUUACGAGAUAGAAAAUUAAACUUAUUUUAGACAAUAUUAUAUGAAUUAGGCUGAAAUGCUUCUAAUAGUACCAAGUCAUUAGCGCCAUUAGGUUUUCAGCCCUUGGAUGAAGGAUUGUACGGUUAGGAUGAUAGCGAUCUUAUAGGGUUGAAUGGGUGAUUUGUUGAAUAGUAUAAUCUAAGAGUGAAAAUGGUCAAAGAGGUAGAUCUAACGGCAAAAAACUCAGUAGCACCGAGUAAUUGGUGCUAUUAGAAGCACCCCGCCGGACUCAUAUCUCUAUCUCUAUACCUAUUAGUACCUAUACAUUAUUCUUCCUAAAUUUGCCAUAUGGCAACGUUCCUUUUAUUGUUGGGUGUGAGCUCUACUCCGAAUCUNUCUUAUCUUUUCGUCAGCUUUUUCUUUAAUAUUUCGUUAAAUUAUAUACAAAAAAAACUUCAGAUAUCCAUCUAGAUUUAUCAAAUAUUUAAUUUAGUACUCUUUAAUUUUAACUUUAUCACUGAUUUAAUAAAAAAAAUUAGUGAAAUCAACAAUAAAAAUAUAAAAAUAAAAUCAUAGAAUAUUAAAUUAAUACACUUUAAAUCCUAUAGUAUUAAAAAAAAGAAAAUAUAAAACUACUUGGGAAGUAUUUGAGAUUUUCUGUAUAAUUAAUAUCACUUGUGGGUGGCAAGCAAGCACUUACACCGACUAUAUUAGGAGCACGUAGUCCGAUGGAAUGAUAAAAUUCACGCUAGUGCCGACUUUCCGCUGGUUUCUUUCUGGAGCCAAAGUCCGCUGGUUUCUGAAGCCAAACUCAAUUCCAAUUUGAAUUUCGAGCCCCUGCAGCAGUCUUCCGCGUUCAAUUUAUUAUUCGCAGGCGUCUGCCCCCCUUUCUUCCCCAUUGCCUGCCGAAAACAAGAUAGCGCGNUUCUCUAUACCUAUUAGUACCUAUACAUUAUUCUUCCUAAAUUUGCCAUAUGGCAACGUUCCUUUUAUUGUUGGGUGUGAGCUCUACUCCGAAUCUGCUGAACUCCGUCACAUGUUUUUCUCGUUCUGUGCUUGAACCGAAUCGGAAUUUUCUCUUGUUUUAUUUGAACUGAACCAUUCAUUGUUGAGUGUGGGCUCUCCUGAAUCGGCUCAAGCCCUCUACAUAUUUUUCUAUUUCUUUGCUUGAACCAACCCUAAUUUUUUUCUUUUUUUUUGCUUGAAUCGAAUCGGGUCACACCUCUACAGUGAGCCAAACUGUUCCUCUUUCACUUCCUUCGACUAUUACCUUUCUUUAUCGGCACAAUGAGUUUCAUUCUUUAUCGCCUUUUUUUUUAUCGUUGUUUUUUAUUUUUUUUCUAAUUACCUGUCAGUCGUAUCGUAAGAAUUAUUGCAACUAGUUAUAUAAUUAUGGAUAAAUUUCAAAUACCAUGCGGUCUACUUUUAGUACCAUGUGGUUUAAAAUGUAUCAAGUUAGUAUCCUGUGGUCUUAUUUUUAUCUUUUCGUCAGCUUUCUCUUUAAUAUUUUGUUAAAUUAUAUACAAAAAAAAACUUCAGAUAUUCAUCUUGAUUUAUCAAAUAUUUAAUUUAGUACUCUUUAAUUUUAACUUUGUCACUGAUUUAAUAAAAAAAAUUAGUGAAAUCAAUAAUAAAAAAAUAAAAAUAAAAUUAUAGGGCAUUAAAUUAAUAUACUUUAAAUUAUAUAGUAUUAAAAAAAGAAAGUAUAAAACUACUGGGGAAGUAUUUGAAAUUUUCUCUAU
rnacentral:lncRNA from 1 species